rnacentral:rRNA from 1 species
GAUGAACGCUGGCGGCGUGCCUAAUACAUGCAAGUCGAGCGAACAGAUGAGGAGCUUGCUCCUCUGACGUUAGCCGCAGACGGGUGAGUAACACGUGGAUCACCUACCUAUAAGACUGGUAUAACUUCGGGAAACCGGAGCUUAUACCGGAUAAUAUAUUGAAGCGCAGGGUGCAAUGGUAAGAUACGGUUUUUCGGGCACGUAUAGAGGGAUACGCGCCGCAUUAGCUAGUUGGUAAGGUAACAGCUUACGAAGGCAACGAGGCGUAUCCGACGUGAGAGGGUGAUCGCCCACCCUGGAACUGAGACACGGUCCAGACGCCUACGAGAGGCAGCAGAAGGGUAUGGUCCGCAACGGGCGAGAGUAUGGCGGAGUAAGGGGGAGUGAGUGAUGACGGUCUUCGGAGCGUAAAAAUCUGUUACUAGGUAUGAACCAAUGUGUACGUAACUAUGGCCGUAUUGACGGUAACUAAUAAGAAAGCACCGGCUAACUACGUG